UAAGCAUAUCAAUAAGNGNAGGAAAAGAAACCAACAGGGAUNGCCUCAGUAACGGNGANUGAAGCGGCAACAGCUCAAAUUUGAAAUCUGGCCCCGUCGGGGUCCGAGUUGUAAUUUGUAGAGAGUGUUUNGGNUGAGACCACAGUCUAAGUCCAUUGGAACAUGGCGUCAUAGAGGGUGAGAAUCCCGUAUGUGACCGUGGCUCAUACCUAUGUGAAGCCUCUUCGACGNNNCGAGNUGUUUGGGAAUGCANCUCAAAAUGGGUGGUAAAUUUCAUCUAAAGCUAAAUACUNGCUGGAGACCGAUAGCGCACAAGUAGAGUGAUCGAAAGAUGAANAGCACUUUGGAAAGAGAGUCAAAAAGUACGUGAAAUUGUUGAAAGGGAAGCGCUUGCAACCAGACCUGUCCGUAGGUGAUCAGCCGCUGUUCUNAGCGGUGCACUCGNUNUGCGAUCANGCCAGCAUCGGUUUCGGNGGUNNGAUAAAGGCCUGGGGAAUGUAGCUUCCUUCGGGAAGUCUUAUAGCCCUCGGUGCAAUGCGGCCAGCCGGGACCGAGGACCGCGCUUCGGCUAGGAUGCUGGCNUAAUGGUUGUAAGCGACCCGUCUUGAAACACGGACCAAGGAGUCUAACAUCUAUGCGAGUGUUUGGGUGUYAAACCCAUGCGCGGAAUGAAAGUGAACGGAGGUGAGAACCCUUUAGGGCGCAUCAUCGACCGAUCCAGAUGUCUUCGGAUGGAUUUGAGUAUGAGCAUAGCUGUUGGGACCCGAAAGAUGGUGAACUAUGCCUGAAUAGGGUGAAGCCAGAGGAAACUCUGGUGGAGGCUCGYAGCGGUUCUGACGUGCAAAUCGAUCGUCAAAUUUGGGUAUAGGGGCGAAAGA
rnacentral:rRNA from 1 species